rnacentral:rRNA from 1 species
UACGUAGGGUGCAAGCGUUAAUCGGAAUUACUGGGCGUAAAGCGUGCGCAGGCGGUGAUGUAAGACAGAUGUGAAAUCCCCGGGCUCAACCUGGGAACUGCAUUUGUGACUGCAUCGCUGGAGUGCGGCAGAGGGGGAUGGAAUUCCGCGUGUAGCAGUGAAAUGCGUAGAUAUCUGGAGGAACACCGGUGGCGAAGGCGGCAUCCUGGACCGACACUGACGCUGAGGAGCGAAAGCCAGGGGAGCAAACGGG